GGGUUGUGAGGUUAAGCGACUAAGCGUACACGGUGGAUGCCCUGGCAGUCAGAGGCGAUGAAGGACGUGCUAAUCUGCGAAAAGCGUCGGUAAGGUGAUAUGAACCGUUAUAGCCGGCGAUGUCCGAAUGGGGAAACCCAGUGCAAUUCGUUGCACUAUCGUUAACUGAAUACAUAGGUUAACGAGGCGAACCGGGGGAACUGAAACAUCUAAGUACCCCGAGGAAAAGAAAUCAACCGAGAUUCCCCCAGUAGCGGCGAGCGAACGGGGAGCAGCCCAGAGUCUGAAUCAGCUUGUGUGUUAGUGGAACGGUCUGGAAAGUCCGACGGUACAGGGUGAUAGUCCCGUACACCAAAAUGCACAGGCUGUGAACUCGAAGAGUAGGGCGGGACACGUGGUAUCCUGUCUGAAUAUGGGGGGACCAUCCUCCAAGGCUAAAUACUCCUGACUGACCGAUAGUGAACCAGUACCGUGAGGGAAAGGCGAAAAAGAACCCCGGCGAGGGGAGUGAAAAAAGAACCUGAAACCGUGUACGUACAAGCAGUGGGAGCACCUUCGGGUGUGACUGCGUACCUUUUGUAUAAUGGGUCAGCGACUUAUAUUCUGUAGCAAGGUUAACCGUAUAGGGGAGCCGCAGGGAAACCGAGUCUUAACUGGGCGUUAAGUUGCAGGGUAUAGACCCGAAACCCGGUGAUUUAGCCAUGGGCAGGUUGAAGGUUGGGUAACACUAACUGGAGGACCGAACCGACUAAUGUUGAAAAAAUUAGCGGAUGACUUGUGGCUGGGGGUGAAAGGCCAAUCAAACCGGGAGAUAGCUGGUUCUCCCCGAAAGCUAUUUAGGUAGCGCCUCGUGAAUUCAUCUUCGGGGGUAGAGCACUGUUUCGGCUAGGGGGUCAUCCCGACUUACCAACCCGAUGCAAACUACGAAUACCGAAGAAUGUUAUCACGGGAGACACACGGCGGGUGCUAACGUCCGUCGUGAAGAGGGAAACAACCCAGACCGCCAGCUAAGGUCCCAAAGUCAUGGUUAAGUGGGAAACGAUGUGGGAAGGCACAGACAGCCAGGAUGUUGGCUUAGAAGCAGCCAUCAUUUAAAGAAAGCGUAAUAGCUCACUGGUCGAGUCGGCCUGCGCGGAAGAUGUAACGGGGCUAAACCAUGCACCGAAGCUGCGGCAGCGACACUAUGUGUUGUUGGGUAGGGGAGCGUUCUGUAAGCCUGCGAAGGUGUGCUGUGAGGCAUGCUGGAGGUAUCAGAAGUGCGAAUGCUGACAUAAGUAACGAUAAAGCGGGUGAAAAGCCCGCUCGCCGGAAGACCAAGGGUUCCUGUCCAACGUUAAUCGGGGCAGGGUGAGUCGACCCCUAAGGCGAGGCCGAAAGGCGUAGUCGAUGGGAAACAGGUUAAUAUUCCUGUACUUGGUGUUACUGCGAAGGGGGGACGGAGAAGGCUAUGUUAGCCGGGCGACGGUUGUCCCGGUUUAAGCAUGUAGGCUGAUUAUCCAGGCAAAUCCGGAUAAUCAAGGCUGAGGUGUGAUGACGAGGCACUACGGUGCUGAAGUAACAAAUGCCCUGCUUCCAGGAAAAGCCUCUAAGCAUCAGGUAACAUUAAAUCGUACCCCAAACCGACACAGGUGGUCAGGUAGAGAAUACCAAGGCGCUUGAGAGAACUCGGGUGAAGGAACUAGGCAAAAUGGUGCCGUAACUUCGGGAGAAGGCACGCUGGUGUGUAGGUGAAGCCCCUGCGGGUGGAGCUGAGACCAGUCGAAGAUACCAGCUGGCUGCAACUGUUUAUUAAAAACACAGCACUGUGCAAACACGAAAGUGGACGUAUACGGUGUGACGCCUGCCCGGUGCCGGAAGGUUAAUUGAUGGGGUUAUCCGUAAGGAGAAGCUCUUGAUCGAAGCCCCGGUAAACGGCGGCCGUAACUAUAACGGUCCUAAGGUAGCGAAAUUCCUUGUCGGGUAAGUUCCGACCUGCACGAAUGGCGUAAUGAUGGCCAGGCUGUCUCCACCCGAGACUCAGUGAAAUUGAACUCGCUGUGAAGAUGCAGUGUACCCGCGGCAAGACGGAAAGACCCCGUGAACCUUUACUAUAGCUUGACACUGAACAUUGAGCCUUGAUGUGUAGGAUAGGUGGGAGGCUUUGAAGCGUGGACGCCAGUCUGCGUGGAGCCAACCUUGAAAUACCACCCUUUAAUGUUUGAUGUUCUAACGUUGGCCCCUGACCGGGGUUGCGGACAGUGUCUGGUGGGUAGUUUGACUGGGGCGGUCUCCUCCCAAAGCGUAACGGAGGAGCACGAAGGUUAGCUAAUCCUGGUCGGACAUCAGGAGGUUAGUGCAAUGGCAUAAGCUAGCUUGACUGCGAGCGUGACGGCGCGAGCAGGUGCGAAAGCAGGUCAUAGUGAUCCGGUGGUUCUGAAUGGAAGGGCCAUCGCUCAACGGAUAAAAGGUACUCCGGGGAUAACAGGCUGAUACCGCCCAAGAGUUCAUAUCGACGGCGGUGUUUGGCACCUCGAUGUCGGCUCAUCACAUCCUGGGGCUGAAGUAGGUCCCAAGGGUAUGGCUGUUCGCCAUUUAAAGUGGUACGCGAGCUGGGUUUAGAACGUCGUGAGACAGUUCGGUCCCUAUCUGCCGUGGGCGCUGGAGAAUUGAGGGGGGCUGCUCCUAGUACGAGAGGACCGGAGUGGACGCAUCACUGGUGUUCGGGUUGUCAUGCCAAUGGCACUGCCCGGUAGCUAAAUGCGGAAGAGAUAAGUGCUGAAAGCAUCUAAGCACGAAACUUGCCCCGAGAUGAGUUCUCCCUGAGACUUUAAGUCUCCUGAAGGAACGUUAAAGACGAUGACGUUGAUAGGCCGGGUGUGUAAGCGCAGCGAUGCGUUGAGCUAACCGGUACUAAUGAACCGUGAGGCUUAACCUUACAACGCCGAAG
rnacentral:rRNA from 1 species